rnacentral:rRNA from 1 species
UACGUAGGGUGCGAGCGUUGUCCGGAAUUACUGGGCGUAAAGAGCUCGUAGGUGGUUUGUCGCGUUGUUCGUGAAAUUCCCUGGCUUAACUGGGGGCGUGCGGGCGAUACGGGCAGACUGGAGUACUGCAGGGGAGACUGGAAUUCCUGGUGUAGCGGUGGAAUGCGCAGAUAUCAGGAGGAACACCGGUGGCGAAGGCGGGUCUCUGGGCAGUAACUGACGCUGAGGAGCGAAAGCGUGGGAGCGAACAGG